rnacentral:rRNA from 1 species
AUUGAACGCUGGCGGCAGGCCUAACACAUGCAGGUCGAGCGGAUGAAGGGAGCUUGCUCCUGGAUUCAGCGGCGGACGGGUGAGUAAUGCCUAGGAAUCUGCCUGGUAGUGGGGGAUAGCGUCCGGAAACGGGCGCUAAUACCGCAUACGUCCUGAGGGAGAAAGUGGGGGAUCUUCGGACCUCACGCUAUCAGAUGAGCCUAGGUCGGAUUAGCUAGUUGGUGGGGUAAAGGCCUACCAAGGCGACGAUCCGUAACUGGUCUGAGAGGAUGAUCAGUCACACUGGAACUGAGACACGGUCCAGACUCCUACGGGAGGCAGCAGUGGGGAAUAUUGGACAAUGGGCGAAAGCCUGAUCCAGCCAUGCCGCGUGUGUGAAGAAGGUCUUCGGAUUGUAAAGCACUUUAAGUUGGGAGGAAGGGCAGUAAGUUAAUACCUUGCUGUUUUGACGUUACCAACAGAAUAAGCACCGGCUAACUUCGUG